CCUACGGGAGGCAGCAGUGAGGAAUAUUGGUCAAUGGACGAGAGUCUGAACCAGCCAAGUAGCGUGAAGGAUGACUGCCCUAUGGGUUGUAAACUUCUUUUAUAUGGGAGUAAAUUGUUCCACGUGUGGGAUUUUGUAUGUACCUUAUGAAUAAAGCUCGGCUAACUUCGUGCCAGCAGCCGCGGUAAUACGGAGGAUCCGAGCGUUAUCCGGAUUUAGUGGGUUUAAAGGGAGCGUAGGUGGAUUGUUAAGUCAGUUGUGAAAGUUUGCGGCUCAACCGUAAAAUUGCAGUUGAAACUGGCAGUCUUGAGUAGAGUAGAGGUGGGCGGAAUUCGUGGUGUAGCGGUGAAAUGCGUAGAUAUCACGAAGAACUCCGAUUGCGAAGGCAGCUCACUGGACUGCAACUGACACUGAGGCGCGAAAGCGUGGGUAUCAAACAGGAUUAGAUACCCUAGUAGUC
rnacentral:rRNA from 1 species